rnacentral:rRNA from 1 species
UACGUAGGAGGCAAGCGUUGUCCGGAAUUACUGGGCGUAAAGCGCGUGUAGGUGGUGGGACAAGUCUGCUGUGAAAGCGCCUGGCUUAACCGGGCGAGGUCGGCGGAAACUGUCCGACUCGAGGACGGUAGAGGGGGGUGGAAUUCCCGGUGUAGUGGCGAAAUGCGUAGAGAUCGGGAGGAAGACCUGUGGCGAAGGCGGGACUCUGGGACGGUACUGACGCUGAGACGCGAAAGCGUGGGGAGCGAACAGG